AUUGAACGCUGGCGGCAGUCCUAACACAUGCAAGUCGAGCGGGUGAAGUGAGCUUGCUCCUGGAUUCAGCGUCUAACGGGUUAGUAAUGCCUAUGAAUCUGCCUGUUAGUGUUGGAUAACGUCCGAAAACGGGCUCUAGUACCGCAUACGUCCUGAGGUAGAAUGUGGGGGAUCUUCGUACCUCUCGCUAUCAGAUGAGCUUGUGUCAGAUUAGCUAGUUGUUGUUGUAAAGGCCUACUAAGGCGACGAUCCGUAACUGUUCUGCGAAGAUGAUCAGUCACACUGGAACUGAGACACGGUUCAGAAUCUAAAGGGAGGCAGCAGUGCGGAAUAUUGGACAAUGGGAGGAAGCAUGCUCUCGCCAUGCCGCGUGUGUGAAGAAGGUCUUAUGAUUGUAAAGCAAUUUAAGCCGGGAGGACGGGCAGUACGUUCAUACCUUGCUGUUUUGACGUUCCCAACAGAAUAAGCACCGGCUACAUUCGUG
rnacentral:rRNA from 1 species